AGUGAACGCUGGCGGUAGGCCUAACACAUGCAAGUCGAACGGCAGCACAGUAAGAGCUUGCUCUUACGGGUGGCGAGUGGCGGACGGGGGAGGAAUAUCUCGGAAUCUACUUUUUCGUGGGGGAUAACGUAGGGGAACAUACGCCAAUACCGCUUACGACCUACGGGUGAAAGCAUGGGAUCUUCGGACCUCGCGCGAUUGAAUGAGGCGAUGUCGGAUUAGCUAGUUGGCGGGGUAAAGGCCCACCAAGGCGACGAUCCGUAGCUGGUCUGAGAGGAUGAUCAGCCACACUGGAACUGAGACACGGUCCAGACUCCUACGGGAGGCAGCAGUGGGGAAUAUUGGACAAUGGGCGCAAGCCUGAUCCAGCCAUACCGCGUGGGUGAAGAAGGCCUUCGGGUUGUAAAGCCCUUUUGUUGGGAAAGAAAAGCAGCAGGUUAAUACCCCGCUGUUCUGACGGUACCCAAAGAAUAAGCACCGGCUAACUUCGUG
rnacentral:rRNA from 1 species